GAACGCAGGCUUGAAUCCGUGGGUAACCCGGCAGGACGCCGGGUUAGCCGCCCCGCGCCAUGGAUGGCGCGUGGCGGCGGCCCACGGAUUCAAGCCGGAGUGA
rfam:Pseudomonas fluorescens SBW25 complete genome